UACGAAGGGUGCAAGCGUUACUCGGAAUUACUGGGCGUAAAGCGUGCGUAGGUGGUGAGUUAAGUCUGAUGUGAAAUCCCCGGGCUCAACCUGGGAAUGGCAUUGGAUACUGGCUCGCUAGAGUGCGGUAGAGGGUGGUGGAAUUCCCGGUGUAGCAGUGAAAUGCGUAGAGAUCGGGAGGAACAUCUGUGGCGAAGGCGGCCACCUGGACCAACACUGACACUGAGGCACGGAAGCGUGGGGAGCAAACAGG
rnacentral:rRNA from 1 species